rnacentral:rRNA from 1 species
AGUUCAGUUUCUAUCCUCUUUUUGAAAUGAGCUAAUUUUGUACGAAAGGACUUUUUCGCUAAAGCAAUGCUUUGUCACAAAUCUGUGUUUGCAUGAAUAAUAGUGUAUAAUAGGUUGAUUAGCCUAUAGAAAGGGUGA